UACGAAGGGGGCUAGCGUUGCUCGGAAUCACUGGGCGUAAAGCGCACGUAGGCGGAUUGUUAAGUCAGGGGUGAAAUCCUGGAGCUCAACUCCAGAACUGCCUUUGAUACUGGCGAUCUCGAGUCCGGGAGAGGUGAGUGGAACUGCGAGUGUAGAGGUGAAAUUCGUAGAUAUCGCAAGAACACCAGUGGCGAAGGCGGCUCACUGGCCCGGUACUGACGCUGAGGUGCGAAAGCGUGGGAGCAACAGGG
rnacentral:rRNA from 1 species